rnacentral:rRNA from 1 species
AUUGAACGCUGGCGGCAUGCCUAACACAUGCAAGUCGAACGGUAACAGGUCUUCGGAUGCUGACGAGUGGCGGACGGGUGAGUAACGCGUAGGAAUCUGUCUUUGAGUGGGGGACAACCCAGGGAAACUUGGGCUAAUACCGCAUAAGCCCUGAGGGGGAAAGCGGGGGAUCUUCGGACCUCGCGCUGGAAGAGGAGCCUACGUCUGAUUAGCUAGUUGGUAGGGUAAAGGCCUACCAAGGCGACGAUCGGUAGCUGGUCUGAGAGGACGACCAGCCACACUGGGACUGAGACACGGCCCAGACUCCUACGGGAGGCAGCAGUGGGGAAUUUUUCGCAAUGGGGGCAACCCUGACGAAGCAAUGCCGCGUGAAUGAAGAAGGCCUUCGGGUUGUAAAGUUCUUUCGUGGAGGACGAAAAGGUGGGUGCUAAUAUCGCCUGCUGUUGACGUGAAUCCAAGAAGAAGCACCGGCUAACUCCGUG